rnacentral:tRNA from 1 species
GUUUUUAUAGGAUAAUAUUAAUCUGUUAUAUUUAGGAUGUAAAGAUAAUUUUUUUUGAAAACU